ensembl:lincRNA
GCUAGAUAACCGAAAGUAAAAACUCCUUCAAGGUCACCGAGGAACGUUCCGGAAAGAAAGACUGCAACCAAGAGACAGUAAAAACCAGAAAGGAUGGUGCUGGGGCAGAUGGAGUGAGAGUGACUUUCAAGCUCACUUAAAUAUGGGAGUUCUUAUAUGUCUGACAAACUCUUGAUGUCCUGAGUGCAAAAUAUCUAGCUAUUUAAACUGUUGACUUGGAAAAAAUGCCUUUGGGAAAAUGACACCAAAUAGUAUUAAAUAAUAGCAAAAGGAGAGAGAUGACCAGGGAAAAUGAUCCACAUAUUUGCUGAAGAUAAGUACAGAUUUCUAUUUUUCUGCUAUAAUUUGAUUUAAAAGAUUUAGGAUUAUGUUAGAUUUUACAUUAGAAUAUAGAUUGUUCUGAGGGAGGUUUCUUCCAUUAUACAAUUACCAUUUUCACUGUUUUUUUUUUUAAUUAAAACACAGUUAAAGUAAAUAUUCCAUGACACCAUGACUCAGUAUUUCACCAUUUGGUAAAAAUAUAUAAAUCUUACAAAUAAUUUACCCAAACUCUAGACUUCGAGAGCGUGGACUGUGCUUGUGCAAUCCUCUCUCGGUCAUUGUCUAAUGUGGAAGGAGUUGUGCUUGAUGGUUGCAGCCUGUAAUUAGUGAGAUCAGUAAUCAAGACAGCUGUGAUGUAUUUUCCUUCAAGAACUAAAAGAGUGAGGACAUCUGUCUGAGAUGAAUGAAAUGGUCAAAUAUAAAUGAACCUAAAUUUGCUGUGUUGUGUGGUUCUUUUCAGGGAGAAAAGAGAGUAUAUGUCCCUCAUGAGAAUAUUUCUUCAGCAUCAAAAUUGAG